rnacentral:rRNA from 1 species
UACGUAGGGUGCAAGCGUUAAUCGGAAUUACUGGGCGUAAAGCGUGCGCAGGCGGUUUUGUAAGUCUGUCGUGAAAUCCCCGGGCUCAACCUGGGAAUUGCGAUGGAGACUGCAAGGCUAGAAUCUGGCAGAGGGGGGGUAGAAUUCCACGUGUAGCAGUGAAAUGCGUAGAGAUGUGGAGGAACACCGAUGGCGAAGGCAGCCUCCUGGGCCAACACUGACGCUCAUGCACGAA